rnacentral:rRNA from 1 species
GAAUUGGAUUGAGAACAACGUACAACUCUUAUCGAUAAGCCAUUGGAGGGCAAGUCUGGUGCCAGCAGCCGCGGUAAUUCCAGCUCCAAUAGCGUAUAUUAACGUUGUUGCAGUUAAAAAGCUCGUAGUUGAAGUGAGGGAGUGUGUGUUCAUGAGAGCUAGUCUCGAGUGUUCACAACCUCCCCCCUCCAAUCGGUGUAGUGGGGUAUUCAGUUAUUUCACUACUCCUUUGGUCGUUUACUGUGAGAAAAUUAGAGUGUUCAAAGCGGGCGUUUGUUUGAAUAGAUUAGCAUGGAAUAAUGAUUGAAGGCUUUCGUGUUCGAUUUGAUUGGUUUGUUCAUGGAAGCAAGGUUAAAAGGAACAGUUGGGGGUAUUCAUAUUCACUAGUUAGAGGUGAAAUUCUCGGAUUUAUGGAAGAUGAACAAGUGCGAAAGCAA